rnacentral:rRNA from 1 species
CAGUCGCCGCGGUAAUACGUAGGGUGCAAGCGUUAAUCGGAAUUACUGGGCGUAAAGCGUGCGCAGGCGGUUUGUUAAGACAGAUGUGAAAUCCCCGGGCUCAACCUGGGAACUGCAUCUGUGACUGGCAGGCUAGAGUAUGGCAGAGGGGGGUGGAAUUCCGCGUGUAGCAGUGAAAUGCGUAGAUAUGCGGAGGAACACCGAUGGCGAAGGCAGCCCCCUGGGCCAAUACUGACGCUCAUGCACGAAAGCGUGGGGAGCAAACAGGAUUAGAUACCCCUGUAGUCCCUGUCUCUUAUAC